AGAGUUUGAUCAUGGCUCAGGAUGAACGCUAGCGGCAGGCUUAACACAUGCAAGUCGAGGGGUAACAGGGAUUAGUUUACUAAUUUGCUGACGACCGGCGCACGGGUGAGUAACGCGUAUACAAUUUACCUUUUACAGGAGGAUAGCCCAGAGAAAUUUGGAUUAAUACUCCAUGGUAUUAUCGGAUCGCAUGGUUUGAUAAUUAAAGUUUCGGCGGUAGAAGAUGAGUAUGCGUCCUAUUAGCUAGUUGGUAAGGUAACGGCUUACCAAGGCGACGAUAGGUAGGGGUCCUGAGAGGGAGAUCCCCCACACUGGUACUGAGACACGGACCAGACUCCUACGGGAGGCAGCAGUGAGGAAUAUUGGUCAAUGGAGGCAACUCCGAACCAGCCAUGCCGCGUGCAGGAAGACUGCCCUAUGGGUUGUAAACUGCUUCUAUACAGGAAGAAACUUAUCCGCGUGUGGAUAACUGACGGUACUGUACGAAUAAGGACCGGCUAACUCCGUGCCAGCAGCCGCGGUAAUACGGAGGGUCCAAGCGUUAUCCGGAAUCAUUGGGUUUAAAGGGUCCGUAGGCGGGCGAUUAAGUCAGAGGUGAAAUCCCACAGCUCAACUGUGGAACUGCCUUUGAUACUGGUUGUCUUGAGUUACAGCGAAGUAGAUAGAAUAUGUAGUGUAGCGGUGAAAUGCAUAGAUAUUACAUAGAAUACCGAUUGCGAAGGCAGUCUACUAACUGUUAACUGACGCUAAGGGACGAAAGCGUGGGGAGCGAACAGGAUUAGAUACCCUGUAGUCCACGCCGUAAACGAUGGUCACUAGUUGUUGGGGCAUUUGCCUCAGUGAUUAAGCGGAAGUGAUAAGUGACCCACCUGGGGAGUACGAUCGCAGAUUGAAACUCAAGGAAUUGACGGGGGCCCGCACAAGCGGUGGAGCAUGUGGUUUAUUCGAUGAUACGCGA
rnacentral:rRNA from 1 species